rnacentral:rRNA from 1 species
UAAUACGGAGGGGGCUAACGUUGUUCGGAAUUACUGGGCGUAAAGCGCGCGUAGGCGGAUUAGACAGUUGAGGGUGAAAUCCCGGAGCUUAACUCCGGAACUGCCUUCAAUACUACUAAUCUUGAGUUCGGAAGAGGUGAGUGGAAUUCCUAGUGUAGAGGUGAAAUUCGUAGAUAUUAGGAAGAACAUCAGUGGCGAAGGCGACUCACUGGUCCGAUACUGACGCUGAGGUGCGAGAGCGUGGGGAGCAAACAGGAUUAGAUACCCUGGUAGUCCACGCCGUAAACGAUGGAAGCUAGUUGUUGGGCGGCAUGCCGUUCGGUGACACAGCUAACGCAUUAAGCUUCCCGCCUGGGGAGUACGAUCGCAAGAUUA